GAUUACAUGGUAUUAAAUAUUAUGUAUUAUGUAUGCUAACAAGAUCGACCAAAUGAUGCAAAUGAGCUUGAAAAUGGUGGAAACAACGGCCAUAAUUUGCAAAAGUAUAGUGUUGCAUCAAUAAGAGAAGCAACGAAUUUCUUCUCAUUGCAAAAUAAACUUGGAGAAGGUGGUUUCGGACCUGUUUACAAGGGAAAUCUGGUAGAUGGGCAGCAAAUAGCAGUAAAGAGACUAUCUAAAAGAUCAGGGCAAGGGUUGAUAGAGUUCAAAACUGAGCUUAUACUCAUUGCAACUACAACACAUGAAUCUUGGAAGACUAUUAGGCAUCUGCAUCCAAGGGAAAGAAAGAUUAUUGAUUUAUUAGUACAUGCCGAAUAAAAGUCUGGACACCUUCAUCUUUGUGGUUACAUGUCUCCAGAGUAUGCCAUGGAAGGCAUUUUCUCUGUCAAAUCUGAUGUUUAUAGUGUUGGAGUUUUAAUGCUCGAAAUUAUAAGUGGUAAAAGAAAUCACAGCUCUUAUAAUUGUGAUCGUCCAC